UCACAAAUAUAAUUUAAUUACCUUGAAUAUCAAUUGCAUUAAUGUAGGGGUACAGUAGGAAAAAUUAUAGUAAAAUUUAUUAUUUCAACUAUAUUAACUAAAUUUUCUUAAUCUGUAUGGAAAAAAAUAAAAAUUUAUCUUUAUGGGAGAAAAGAGUAUUUCAUAAGAAGAUUGGAACAAGAAAAUCCCUCUUAUUCUUCAACAAACGAGACAUAACUGAGGAGUUUACUGUCAAUGCAAAUGAUUACUGGGUCAUAUUAUAAAGGAUCCAAACAAAAAACCAUUUGACAUGCAAACAAAAUAGGGAAAAUUUGAUUCAUUGCUUGAUUGCCAUAAACCAAUGACCAUCCUUUCGACGGUGGAAACUAAGAAAAACAAAAGAAAGCAUACUGAAUAAUAAACCUUCUAAAUUUCCUUAUUUUAAAAAGGCUCGAAUGUGUUUCAAUGCUUGGGAGAGUAUUUGAUUUGGAAGGUCAACUCAACAAUUAAUGGAAGCAGAGGUCGAAUGAGGGUCAGUAAACCCUGCCUUUUACUCUCACCCACUUGAGUUGGCAAAGCUUUUUCUUCCGCAUGAGUUUGAAUGGGAGGGCCUAAAAUCCUUAAUUCAUAGAAUUUCUUGGAACUUAAAUCUCAAAAAAAAGAAAUAUGUGCUACUAAGAAAGUCAUCACAGGAGAUUUCAGAAGUUAAUCAGGUGCGGCAAGCACAAUUGCCAAUGUCUGACAAACAUAACAAGGCAAGGUUGUGAUGAAAACUAAUCGCCAUACUUCUAAUGGAAGACAUCUUCCAUACUACAAAAUUCACUGACACCAUUAAUGCCAUUUCAACAAAACAGAUUCUCAAACCAAGAAGUCUACUGCACGCAACAGUAAGUCUACUGCACGCAACAGUAAGUCUCUAAUAUAUUAAAACCCAAUUCCUUCACUUAUGCCACUUCAUCAAGGGCCCUGAGAUUUUCAAUUUGACAGCACAAAACAAUCUCUCAUUCAGUAAUUAUUAGAAGAACCAAGCGCACUGCACUAUAACUCCCUCUGUCCCAUGUAGUCCUUUUUUCCUUUUUCGUCUAUCCUAAAUUAUAGUCCUGUUUCUUAUUUGAGAGUAUAGUUAAUAUAUUAAUUUAGUAAUAUGUCCCUAUUUAAUGUGCUUUGUUAUCACAAAUAUAAUUUAAUUACCUUGAAUAUCAAUUGCAUUAAUGUAGGGGUACAGUAGGAAAAAUUAUAGUAAAAUUUAUUAUUUCAACUAUAUUAACUAAAUUUUCUUAAUCUGUAUGGAAAAAAAUAAAAAUUUAUCUUUAUGGGAGAAAAGAGUAUUUCAUAAGAAGAUUGGAACAAGAAAAUCCCUCUUAUUCUUCAACAAACGAGACAUAACUGAGGAGUUUACUGUCAAUGCAAAUGAUUACUGGGUCAUAUUAUAAAGGAUCCAAACAAAAAACCAUUUGACAUGCAAACAAAAUAGGGAAAAUUUGAUUCAUUGCUUGAUUGCCAUAAACCAAUGACCAUCCUUUCGACGGUGGAAACUAAGAAAAACAAAAGAAAGCAUACUGAAUAAUAAACCUUCUAAAUUUCCUUAUUUUAAAAAGGCUCGAAUGUGUUUCAAUGCUUGGGAGAGUAUUUGAUUUGGAAGGUGAACUCAACAAUUAAUGGAAACAGAGGUCGAAUGAGGGUCAGUAAACCCUGCCUUUUACUCUCACCCACUUGAGUUGGCAAAGCUUUUUCUUCCGCAUGAGUUUGAAUGGGAGGGCCUAAAAUCCUUAAUUCAUAGAAUUUCUUGGAACUUAAAUCUCAAAAAAAAGAAAUAUGUGCUACUAAGAAAGUCAUCACAGACUUACAGCAUGCUUGGGAGUGCUUACUUUAAAAUUUAAGUGGUUAUGAAUUGUGGUCAUAAAGAAUGUGUGAAUAGUAAGUGGUGGUAGUGAUGGAUCCUACAAAAUAUGUGAAUAAAAGUAUGUUUGACCAACUUAAAUUAUAAUUUAAACUUCGCAAAACAAACACCUAACCAUACAAUAAAAACCUUCCAAUAUUCAUGAAGUGUAAGAG
rnacentral:lncRNA from 1 species